ensembl:lncRNA
ACAUUUCAGUUGCAUUGCUGGCUAUGCAGGGUCAGACAGCUCCAGAUUCAAUCAAAAAAAAAAAUCUUAAUUUGUGUUCCGAAGAUGAACGAAGGUCUAACGGGUUUGAAACUUCAUGAGGUCACUGUCACCUGCAUUAUUUAGAGCUCUAGUACCUGUCAGUCCAACACACCUGAAAACCCUUAAAUACUCCGGCAGCUGUGCAGGAAUCCACAACAUGCAUCUCUCUCUUUAUUCAUACCUGCUGUGUCUCAGCACUGGAUAUCAAAGCUACAGCAAUAGCUGGAUUCCUUUAUCCAGAGAUCAUUAUUGGGAGUUACCAGGGCCCAUCUCUCUACCACUGGAGAAAGCUUAACAGCCAACUUGGAUCACAUGUGCCUUGACAACCAAUCACUUUAUAGCCUUGACAUCAUUGAAUUUCUGUCAGAGUUGUGUGACAGUCAAUCACUGUUUACGGAUACCAUAGAAAUAAAUGAGAAGUGCCGUAAACUGCAGUGCUGCAUAUCCCUGUAAUAGUGAAUGCUCUGGCAGUCUCUCCAAAAGUAGCAGCGUUCCAG